CUACACAUGCAAGUCGAGCGGAAACGAAGAGGUGCUUGCACCUCUGGCGUCGAGCGCUGGAGGGGCUAGUAAUGCUUGGGAAUAUGCCUUAUGGUGGGGGAUAACUGUUGGAAACGACUGCUAAUACCGCAUGAUGUCUACGGACCAAAGUGGGGGACCUUCGGGCCUCACGCCAUAAGAUUAGCCCAAGUGGGAUUAGCUAGUUGGUGAGGUAAUGGCUCACCAAGGCGACGAUCCCUAGCUGGUUUGAGAGGAUGAUCAGCCACACUGGGACUGAGACACGGCCCAGACUCCUACGGGAGGCAGCAGUGGGGAAUAUUGCACAAUGGGCGCAAGCCUGAUGCAGCCAUGCCGCGUGUGUGAAGAAGGCCUUCGGGUUGUAAAGCACUUUCAGUAAGGAGGAAAGGUUAAGUGUUAAUAGCACUUAGCUGUGACGUUACUUACAGAAGAAGCACCGGCUAACUCCGUGCCAGCAGCCGCGGUAAUACGGAGGGUGCGAGCGUUAAUCGGAAUUACUGGGCGUAAAGCGUACGCAGGCGGUUUGUUAAGCGAGAUGUGAAAGCCCCGGGCUCAACCUGGGAACUGCAUUUCGAACUGGCAAACUAGAGUGUGAUAGAGGGUGGUAGAAUUUCAGGUGU
rnacentral:rRNA from 2 species